AACGACUCUCGGCAACGGAUAUCUCGGCUCUCGCAUCGAUGAAGAACGUAGCGAAAUGCGAUACUUGGUGUGAAUUGCAGAAUCCCGUGAACCAUCGAGUCUUUGAACGCAAGUUGCGCCCGAGGCCAUCAGGUUGAGGGCACGGC
rnacentral:rRNA from 1 species